GGGGUUGUGGCUCAAAGGUAGAGCGCUCGCCUAGCAUGGGUGAGGCCCUGGGUCCGAUCCCCAGCACCA
rnacentral:tRNA from 1 species